rnacentral:rRNA from 1 species
UAGGGAAUAUUGCACAAUGGGCGAAAGCCUGAUGCAGCAACGCCGCGUGCACGAUGAAGGCCUUCGGGUCGUAAAGUGCUUUUCUGUAGGACGAGAGAGGACGGUACUGCAGGAAUAAGGAUCGGCUAACUACGUGCCAGCAGCCGCGGUAACACGUAGGAUCCGAGCGUUAUCCGAAUUCACUGGGCGUAAAGCGCUUGCAGGCGGCAAGGUAAGUUGGAUGUAAAAUCUUCUGGCUCAACUGGGAGAUGCCGUUCAAGACUGCCUGGCUAGAGGGCGAUAGAGGGAGGUGGAAUUCCCGGUGUAGUGGUGAAAUGCGUAGAUAUCGGGAGGAACACCAGAGGCGAAAGCGGCCUCCUGGAUCGCAACUGACGCUGAGAAGCGAAAGCUAGGGGAGCAAACGGG